rnacentral:lncRNA from 1 species
CAUUAUUAUCUCAGUUUUCAUCAAUUUACUGCUUAUACUUAUAAUUAUAUUUGAUCUUUUUUUCUAUGUCAGUUGCCAAUGUUGAUCUUUCAACACGCAAGUCCAGGGAGCAGUGGGAGAUUACAGUGUGUAAAACUGCUAUCAGUCCUGUCUUGCAGAAUUUGGACCGAGAAUUAAACAAUGCACAGGAUCUGAUUGCAGCAGAUAACAGACUUUCUAACAGUCCCCUGGUGAAGGUGCUGAGAGGAGAUCCUCAAAGAAUGCUUCAACUACCAGCUAACUGUCCCACCGAGCACUCUGCCUUUUGGAGCCCAUCAUCUGUCCUUGCUGUGGAAAGCAUCUCUCAGCAAAUAGACCAGGCUCAAGCACCUCUGCUCACGCUUUUUGUCCAAAAGGUUUGUUUACUUAACAUUUAACAUUCAACACAACUUUGUCAGAUUACAGUAGCUGUGAAUAUGUUUUUAUGUUGUGUGUGUUUGCAUCAUCAGGUGCAUUAUAUAAGACAGCUGGACUGUUUGCCUGCUCUUGCUGCCCUUUUGUCUGAUUUAAUAAAAGUGCUUCCUCCAGGCUCUGAAACCCAGAACCACACCAUCGCCUCACUGCUGCACUGUAUUCCUGCAGGUCUGUCAUACUCACUGUUGGAGAUAGAUUGUUGAUUGAUUUAUCAAGUAUGUAACAUUGCUGUGCUGUAAUUUGGGUUACUGAAUAUAGGCCACCAGAAGAAACUAAUGUCAGAAAGAGUCGAGAUAUACAUGAAAGUGUGGAACCAACUCAGAAUGGAAAUAUCUAGUAACGGUAAGUUGUUAGAAGUUUACGUCUGUUAUUUAUGUGUGGUGAUGUAUGUAUUCAUAUGUUGAAUUAAGUAUUAUUACCCCCUUUUUAGAUUUGACUGACAACUUAAAAAUAAAAGUAAUCACUAAAAU